AGGCCAAACCAAUUUGAUAAUUCAAAGAGACUUGCAAAGAUAACUUAAUCACACAUAAAAGAAUUCGGAGGAGAUUCAAAUAUUUCUCAUAAAUAAACAUGAUCAUAAACGCACAAUUCAUCGGAUCUCGACAAACACACCGCAAAAAGAGUUACAUCGAAUAGAUCUCCAAGAAGAUCGAGGAGAACUUUGUAUUGUGAUUCAAAGAAGAGAAGAAGUCAUCUAGCUAAUAACUAUGGACCCGAAGGUCUGUGGUAAACUACUCACAACUCAUCGGAAGGGCCUUAGAGAUGAUGUAGAGGCCCUCCGUGAUCGAUUCCCCCUCCGGUGGAGCGCUGGCGAAGGCUCCAAGAUGGGAUCUCGCGGAUACAGAAGGUUAUGGCGGUGAAAAUAGUUUUUCGUGGUGCUCCUCGAAUGUUUUAGGGUACAUAGGUAUAUAUAGGAGGAAGUAGUAGGUCGGUGGACGCCGGUGGGGGGCGCCCACCUGUAGGGAGCGCGCCAGGCACCCUCGUGGCCACCUCCUCUGUUGCUUGACGUCCACUCCAAAUCCCCUGGAUCACUUUUGUUCCAAACAGAUCGCUCUCUAAGGUUUCAUUCCGUUUGGACUCCGUUUGAUAUUCCUUUUUUCGAGACACUGAAAUAGGCAAAAAAACAGCAAUUCAGGCUGGGCCUCCGGUUAGUAGAUUAGUCCUAAAAAUGAUAUAAAAGUGUAAAGUAAAGCCCAUAAACAUCUAAAACGGGUAAUAUAAUACGUUGGAGACGUAUCAUCCACCAUCUGGUUGCAACAUCCGAAAAGAAGAAAAAGGGGGAAAGGGGGGUAGCAAAGCAACCGUGAGUACUCAUCCAAAGUACUCGCAAGCAUCAGAUCUAUGCUAGGUAUGCAUUGGUAUCAAAUGGAAGGUUUGUAUCUAUCGACUGAACUGCAGAAAGCCAGAAUAGAGAGGGAAGGCCUAGCCUAUCGAAGACUAGCAUCUUCAAGCAGCUCCGAGCAUCUUGCAGCAUGUAGAAGAGUAAAGAAUAGCAGUUUAUAAUUAACAAACAUGUUGUAACAUUAAUGCCCAGAGAUCCUUCCUCGACUCCCUGCGAGUAAGCAAUCCCAGAGCCACAUAUCUCAAGUAUCCAUUUCUAGUUGUAUAAGAUUAGGAUAUAAGUCUGAACGUCCGUUACCGUGGACACGGCUAUUAAUAGAUAAUCUUCACUGCAGGGGUGCACCGCGUUUUCCAACACGCUUGAUUACUCUGGCCAGACACACUUUCCGGGGUCAUGCCCGGCCUCGGAAGAUCAACAUGUCGCAGCCUUACCUAGGCUCAACAGAGAGGUCCCCGUCGGUCUACCUCAUAAGCACUCCGGGGUCUGGGCCCAUCGCCCGUUCGACUCCGAGUCGUUGCGCGCAGGGAGGACCUAGGCACCACCUCUGGGGUGCUGGCCCAGUCGUGCCGCACUGCUGAACUAGACGUCUGACAAAGCUUCGGCUGAUACCAUGACGCCGAGGCCCAUAACUAUUCUCACAUGGUGGUUGGUGCGUAAAGGCCAGAGGCCAACUCGGAACAAAUAUCAAAACCAUAGUGUAUUACUAGCUUGCGGAGACGAGCAGAGACUCACGAUCGAAGUGACCCCAUCACCCCAUCUCGUGGACUUACGACAAGGGCCCAGAAUGCCCGGCCGUGCCCCGUAACCAUCUUGCAGGUGCUCUCCGGGCCCGCCCAACUUUCACCAAGGUCUCAAGUAAAGUCAAUUGUAACCGUGUGUCCAAACAUCAAGGGGAAAACCCGAGGAAUCACCCAUGGAGGAUUCCACUCGAUGUAAUCAUCAAGGUGAACGUAAGAGGAUCCACCCUCGAGGUUCACACUUGAGGUGUUGCACGACAGAGCCGUAUCGAGAAUGGUGAAAGAGGAAAUCACCCUCGUUGACCACGACCGAAUAGCUACACUACAGAGUUCUCAUCAAGAGUGAUAUAUGAGGUUCCACCCUCGUCACUCGAUGGUAACUCUGUAGAGUCGAGCAACAAAAAGGGGCGUGAUGUGAUGUGAGGUGUCGGGCUCUGGUCGUCGAUCACAUUGAUCGGGUCGUCGAUGAUGAAGCAGGGACAACAAGGACAAGUGAGGGUCACUGAUGGAUCACUAACCAGCCUAUACUAAGCAGUUUAGAUUAAGUAGGUAAGGUACAACAGUAGGUUACAAAAGCAAACUAUGCAUCAGAAUAGGAGUGAUCAAUAACAGUAGCAAAAUCUAAUGCAAGCAUUAGAGAAUGGAAUGGGCGAUAUCGGGAUGAUCAAAAGGGGGGCUUGCCUGGAAGCUCCAUUGAAAGGGAAGAAGAGUCGUCGUCGACGUAGACGAUCACAGUGGCAUCAACAGUGGUCUCGGGGUCUACCGGAGAAAAGAGGGGGAAGAAACAAUAAAUACACACGAAUAUAAGCAUAACAUGACAAUAAGCGAUGCUAGGGGUGUUCUAACGCAGUGUUACAUGAUACCGGCGCAAGGAGAAACAUCCGGGAAAGUUUUCCCGGUUCCGAACGUCUGUUAGACAGAUGAACUAGAGGGGAAAGAUUGCAUGUUCUCUAUACUAUGGAUGUGUGGCGUACGAACAAACCGCGUAUUCGGAUUCGUCUCGUCGUUCUAAGCAACUUUCAUGUAUAAAAGUUUUUCAUCUGACUUACGGAUUAUUUUAAAUGGUUUUCUAAAGUUUUAGUAAUAUUCUAAAAUGAACAGAUUUAAUUAAAAGGAAAACAGGAUUAUGACAUCAUCAUGACAUCAGCAUGAUGUCAGCAGCCAACAGGGCUGUUGACUGGGUCAACUAACGUGUGGGUCCUGGUUGUCAUAGACACAGUUAACUAAACACUUUAAUUAGCUAAAUAGGUAAUUAGACUUAACUAAACAAAAUUAAUUAAGUUAAUUAAUUAAUUAAUUAGCUAAUUAAUUUUAUUAAUACUUUUUUGUUUGUUUUGUUUUUUUACAAGAAGAGGGGGCUGGGGGGCCCACUGGGCUGUGACCUAGGGGGUAGCGGGCGCGGCUAAACGGGCGCCGACGGGGCCCCAGGCGCGUGGUGCGGGUGCUGCCCGGGCGCUGACUGAGCCCGGCGAGGCAAACCGCAGGGGGGCGGCGCGGCCAGGCACAGCCACGGGCGCGUCCCAGGCGCAGCCACGGGCGCAGCCCCAGCACGGGACGGCGGGGCAGCGGGCACGCAUCAGCAGCAGUGGCAGAGCAGUGCGGCCGCAGCGGGCGAAGGUGGGAGAGGCGGGGCGCGUGCUGGGCACGGUGAGCACAAGAUGGGAUGCGGGGACCGUGUCGACCGAGGCAGCGUUGUACAUCGUCGGGGGAGGGAAGGCAGAGAGAGGGGUUCUCACCCCCGUUGUAGAUGAACUAGGGGGGCGGCGAGGUGCGAUGAUGACGCCGGGGAGGAGACGAAGACGAGGCGAUGGGGCGAGGCAGUCCGGUGGCGGCGACGGCAUGGUCUGGCGACGACGAUUGGCGUUGAGGUUGAGGCAGUGGCGGUUGGCCCCGACCG
rnacentral:lncRNA from 1 species